rnacentral:sRNA from 1 species
GCCAGGUGUGGUGGCGCACGCCUGUAAUCCCAGCAACUUGGGAGGCUGAGAUGGGAGGAUCGUAAGUUUGUAGCCAACCUGGGCAACUUGAAUCCCGUCUUUA